rnacentral:rRNA from 1 species
UACGUAGGGCGCAAGCGUUGUCCGGAAUUAUUGGGCGUAAAGAGCUCGUAGGCGGCUUGUCACGUCGGGUGUGAAAGCCCGGGGCUUAACCCCGGGUCUGCAUUCGAUACGGGCUAGCUAGAGUGUGGUAGGGGAGAUCGGAAUUCCUGGUGUAGCGGUGAAAUGCGCAGAUAUCAGGAGGAACACCAAUAGCGAAGGCAGCUCGCUGGGACGUUACUGACACUGAGGCGCGAAAGCGUGGGGAGCGAACAGG